GCCGCUGUGGCGGAAUUGGCAGACGCACUUGACUCAAAAUCAAGCGCCUUUGCGGGCGUGCCGGUUCGACUCCGGCCAGCGGCA
rnacentral:tRNA from 1 species